rfam:Populus trichocarpa scaffold_9_contig_78, whole genome shotgun sequence.
UCUAAAACUCGAGAUAUGGGUUAAACACUGAACAGUGUCUGGGUUGCAGGACAGAUUCUGACUUCUCUUUUGUUGCUACAAUUUGAACUUGAAAAGUCGUUUUGAAUCUUGCACUCUUCAUGAAAGUUUUAGGCCUAUGUCUUAGCUUUCUUAUG